rnacentral:rRNA from 1 species
UACGUAGGGUGCGAGCGUUGUCCGGAAUUACUGGGCGUAAAGGGCUCGUAGGCGGUUUGUCGCGUCGGGAGUGAAAUCCACUGGCUUAACUGGUGGCUUGCUUUCGAUACGGGCAGACUGGAGGUAUGCAGGGGAGAACGGAAUUCCUGGCGUAGCGGUGAAAUGCGCAGAUAUCAGGAGGAACACCAAUGGCGAAGGCAGCACUCUGGGACGGUACUGACGCUGAGACGCGAAAGCGUGGGGAGCAAACAGG